GAUGAACGCUGGCGGCGUGCCUAAUACAUGCAAGUCGAGCGAACGGACGAGAAGCUUGCUUCUCUGAUGUUAGCGGCGGACGGGUGAGUAACACGUGGAUAACCUACCUAUAAGACUGGGAUAACUUCGGGAAACCGGAGCUAAUACCGGAUAAUAUUUUGAACCGCAUGGUUCAAAAGUGAAAGACGGUCUUGCUGUCACUUAUAGAUGGAUCCGCGCUGCAUUAGCUAGUUGGUAAGGUAACGGCUUACCAAGGCGACGAUGCAUAGCCGACCUGAGAGGGUGAUCGGCCACACUGGAACUGAGACACGGUCCAGACUCCUACGGGAGGCAGCAGUAGGGAAUCUUCCGCAAUGGGCGAAAGCCUGACGGAGCAACGCCGCGUGAGUGAUGAAGGUCUUCGGAUCGUAAAACUCUGUUAUUAGGGAAGAACAUAUGUGUAAGUAACUGUGCACAUCUUGACGGUACCUAACCAGAAAGCCACGGCUAACUACGUG
rnacentral:rRNA from 1 species